rnacentral:rRNA from 1 species
AUGCUCUUGAGUAGUGGAAAUCUCAUCCUAAAAGAUUCUUCAAACUUAUCAGAAGUUUUAUGGCAGAGCUUCGAUCACCCCACAAAUACAUUUUUCCCAGGAGUGAAGCUUGGAUGGGACAAUCUCACAGGUCUGAACCGCCAGAUUGUCUCUUGGAAAAACUUGAUGGACCCAGAUACUGGUGCGUACUGUGAGAUAUUAGACCCCAGUGGUGUUGAUCAGUUCUUGUUUACACCAUUGAACUCCUCCAUACCGUACUGGUCGACUGGUGUAUGGAAUGGUAAAUACUUUGCCUCACUUCCAGAAAUGACAGCCAGCAACCCAGUUUUCACCACAACAUUUGUCAACAAUGACCAAGAGAAGUACAUGACAUUUAACUUAGUCAACGAGACUAUGGUUACUCGUAAUGUAAUAGACGUCUCGGGUCAAACAAAACAGUUCAUUUGGUUAGAGGGUUCUCGGGAUUGGACAAUGAUCUAUUGCCAACCGAAGCUUCAGUGUGAUGUCUAUGCAAUCUGUGGACCUUUCACAAUUUGCAAUGAUAAUGCGCUUCCACGUUGCACUUGCAUGGAGGGCUUCACCAUAACAUCCCCCGAGGAAUGGGAGCUAGAAGAUCGAACUGGUGGGUGCUCAAGAAAUACCCCAUUAGACUGCAUUAGCAACAAAAGUACAACUCAUACCACAGAUAAGUUCUACUCCGUGCCAUGUGUUGACUUGCGUCGUAAUGCCCCAAAAGUAGAAGCUGCUGCAAGCGCAAGUGAGUGCGCACAAGUUUGCCUGAGUGAUUGCUCUUGCACUGCGUAUUCCUUCAGCGACAAUAGGUGUUCUAUUUGGCAUAAUGAAUUGCUCAACAUAAGAGCACUGCAAUGUAGUGGCAGUACAAGUUCAACUGGAGAAAAUCUUUACCUUCGUGUUUCUGCUGAAGAUUUCCACAGAAUGAAAAACAACAGAAAGGGGAUUGUUAUUGGAGUUGCAACUGGUACAGGUGUUUCUGCUCUAGGAUUAUUUGCACUUGUUCUCCUGGUA